rnacentral:rRNA from 1 species
CGGCAGACGGGUGAGUAACGCGUGGGAACAUACCUUUUGGUUCGGAACAACACAGGGAAACUUGUGCUAAUACCGGAUAAGCCCUUACGGGGAAAGAUUUAUCGCCGAAAGAUUGGCCCGCGUCUGAUUAGCUGUUGGUGAGGUAACGGCUCACCAAGGCGACGAUCAGUAGCUGGUCUGAGAGGAUGAUCAGCCACAUUGGGACUGAGACACGGCCCAA